AGUGAACGCUGGCGGUAGGCCUAACACAUGCAAGUCGAACGGCAGCACAGUAAGAGCUUGCUCUUACGGGUGGCGAGUGGCGGACGGGUGAGGAAUACAUCGGAAUCUACUUUUUCGUGGGGGAUAACGUAGGGAAACUUACGCUAAUACCGCAUACGACCUACGGGUGAAAGCAUGGGAUCUUCGGACCUUGCGCGAUUGAAUGAGCCGAUGUCGGAUUAGCUAGUUGGCGGGGUAAAGGCCCACCAAGGCGACGAUCCGUAGCUGGUCUGAGAGGAUGAUCAGCCAAACUGGAACUGAGAAACGGUCAAGACUCCUACGGGAGGCAGAGUGGGGAAUAUUGGACAAUGGGCGCAAGCCUGAUCCAGCCAUACCGCGUGGGUGAAGAAGGCCUUCGGGUUGUAAAGCCCUUUUGUUGGGAAAGAAAAGCAGCAGGUUAAUACCCCGCUGUUCUGACGGUACCCAAAGAAUAAGCACCGGCUAACUUCGUG
rnacentral:rRNA from 1 species